GACGAACGCUGGCGGCGUGCCUAACACAUGCAAGUCGAGCGAAUGAGGUUCCUUCGGGAAUGGAUUUAGCGGCGGACGGGUGAGUAACACGUGGGCAACCUGCCUCAUAGAGGGGAAUAGCCUCCCGAAAGGGAGAUUAAUACCGCAUAAGAUUGUAGUACCGCAUGAUACAGCAAUUAAAGGAGCAAUCCGCUAUGAGAUGGGCCCGCGGCGCAUUAGCUAGUUGGUGAGGUAAUGGCUCACCAAGGCGACGAUGCGUAGCCGACCUGAGAGGGUGAUCGGCCACAUUGGGACUGAGACACGGCCCAGACUCCUACGGGAGGCAGCAGUGGGGAAUAUUGCACAAUGGGGGAAACCCUGAUGCAGCAACGCCGCGUGAGUGAUGACGGCCUUCGGGUUGUAAAGCUCUGUCUUCAGGGACGAUAAUGACGGUACCUGAGGAGGAAGCCACGGCUAACUACGUG
rnacentral:rRNA from 1 species